CCCUAGUUACUUAGACGGUAAAGGGUCUGCCUACAAUGCAGGAGACCCAGGUUCAUUCCCUGGGCGGGGAA
rnacentral:tRNA from 1 species